rnacentral:lncRNA from 1 species
UAUAUAUAUAUAUAUAUAUAUAGUAAUCCUUUCUUGCUUUAGUGUAUGUUGACCGAGCUAGAAUUCUUUGAAUUUCCUGGAAAAAUCUAUACUGUAUGAAUAGAGCUUGAAACUGCAACAGUAUUGCUAAAAAACCUACUUUGACACCAUUUUAAGAUUUGACUUUGUUUGUCCCGCCAUCUGCCUUCCCCCUCCCCUCGCUAUCUCUCUGUGCCCUAGAUCUGCUAUGACUGUGUAUAGAAACUUUGGCUCAAUAUUCUGCAUCUUAUCUAUUUUAAUGCCAAAAUGUUGUGUUUACCUGUGUUCAAUAACCACAAACCCCAGAAUUUGAUCACCUCUACUCUGGAAAGGGAUCUCUGCUGUUUGCCUUAACGAAAAGAUUGGGACAGCAGAAAAACAAUAGAAAAACAUAAUCAGGAUUGAGAACCACUGCUCUAAAUGUGUGUGUAUGUAUGUAUACACAUAUAUUAAGAAAGUACAUGCAUUCCUAAAUGCAUACAUGUGUACCUACAUGCGCACACACGAUUGUCUAUUUAUACAUACAAUAUCUGCAUGCAUACGUAGAUGCAUACAUAUUUUCUCUUCAGGAGUUUGUUUUCCAAGCAGCUCGCUGUGGAGCAUCAGUGCAGAGCAGCGUUGUCCUGUAGGUGUGUGAGUGGCUGUGUAAAGCCUUGCUUUCUUUGGCAGUGCGUUCUGUUAGUAGAUAUAAUGGUGACCAUCGCGUCUGUUGUAGGAGCGGUGCGGGAAAAGCCGAACCUGGAGUGUCUGUGACCCCCCCGACGUUUGCUGUGUUGGUUUUUCUUAAAAAUAAAAAAAAUGCUAUCACAAAUAAUACAAAAUUAUAAACUGAAAUAUAAAUUUAUCUGGAAGAAAUGUGCAAUGUUUAAACUUACAUUUUGUAAUUUCCUUUUUAGAGUUGAUGUUUUGCAUUUUGCAUCUCCCUAUAGUACUUUUCUGAGUGUCUGUGUUGGUAUAUGAAUGAAACAAUUAUAUAUGGAUCCAUACUGUAUUGUAUCUCUUGAUUUAUCAAAUGAUAAAGUGAAGCAUGUGUGUCCUCAGCGCUGCCUGGAGUUUGGGAAUUCCUGUAAAAUCAUGCAGCAGCAUCGGAACCCAAAGGGGUGCACGUUUUGGUUUUUUCUCAUAGCACACUACACAGCUGAUUCAAAUAAUCAACUAAUAAUCAAGCUUUGAUAAUAUGAAUCAGCUGUGUAGUUUUAGGGCAAGAAAACUAAACGUGUACCCCUUGGGGUCCCCAGGACUGAGUUUGGGAAACGCUUUCAUACAGGCUUGGUUCUCAAAUGAUCACUGCACCCUUUCCAUGUAUUUAUCAUUGUCCAAAAUGUGUACCCCUACACACAGCAGUGUUCUAGAAUAUUGGACUGUUGGCUUUCAUACUUUCUGAAUAUUUCAGCACGGCUCGAGCAAUUUCUCCAACUGUCAACACAUUCAAAUGAAUAGAGGAUGCACACUGGAGCCGAGUUGGUUGGGAAUUGUGGGGGAGGCGCACGUUUGGGCUUUGCUUCCUCAGAUGGUACAGCGCUGCGUAGCUACCUUAUGUCUGUGGACUAUGAUUUACGCAUUAAAAUAUGAACACUAAGGUUAAAGGGGCAUAUGCACCCAGUACCAAUUCAACUGGCUUUAUAACACACUUUGCUCUGUUACAUGCGUUUCAGGUAGGCCUUGAUACUCUAUCAGGUGAUAUUCAAUUGAAAGUGUGAUUUAAUUUCUCGGUCUCCUAUGUUGUUAUGAAAUAAUUCCACAUAACUUACUGGAAAUGCACCUUGUUUCACCUUAUUUGUGUGCUUUAGUCUAUUAUAAAAGAAACCCUGCUCUGGCCCUGGUUUCCCAAAAGCAUUCUAAGGCCAAGUUCAUCCUUAGAACCAUAUGAUCCUAUAGUUCAAACAAUCAAUUUAUUCUUAGUAUGCUUUUGGGAAACUGGCCCAGUGCGCAAGGUUUGUCAAAUAGGCCUACAGCAAAUCAAAAAUCAAUGUUGGGUGGGGAUGCAUUGCAGUCAUAUAUAGUUCAUGAGGUAUAUUCUUUACUCAUCAUCCCCUUAACAUUAGGAUGUAACCUGAAAUUGUUUUUUGUUGGUAGUCACGCACAGCAACAGCUUAUGAUGUUAUAGGUGAGAUCACAUGAUCAAAUCCUUACAAUUCUCAUGACCUACUUUUGAAAGAGGUAAAGAAACGAAAUGUGAAAAUGGAAAAGCUUGUGUUGAACAGAUUAGUGAACCCUCUGAAACGUUAGUAGUAUGCCUGCUGCAUGAAUUGUAUUAACUGUUUCAAAAAUGUAAGUUUGAUUUUAGUGAAUGCAAUUCAAGUAGUGUGACCUUCACGAUAGCCUUCUCUCAUGCAAAUUAAACCCACAAACGCAAAGGACAUUUAUUUUUUUAAAGACAUGCUUUAUUAAAUUAUGUUCUGAAAACUGCAAAAUGUAUAA